GCCUCUGUAGUCUGACGGUAAGACGUCUCUAAAAUUUGGGCUAUUUUGAAUAGUUUGAGGAGAAGUCGAGGGUUUGAGUCCUUCCAGAGGCA